CUCUAAUGAUAACCCCUAUUUUGUGCCACGUGUCUGGGCCACUGAUGUACUAUGAUGUGAUUGACUAACUGAGAAG